rnacentral:rRNA from 1 species
AAACCAACAGGGAUUGCCUUAGUAGCGGCGAGUGAACAGGCAAGAGCUCAGAUUUGAAAGCCUUUCGGGGCAUUGUAUUCUGAAGCCUUGGUCCUGGGAAACCGAUGUCUAAGUCUUCUGGAAAGGAGCGCCAUGGAGGGUGAUAGCCCCGUACGACAUUGACCCCACUGUAGGACCUUGGCAUGGAGUCGAGUUGUUUGGGAAUGCAGCUCAAAUGGGUGGUAUGCUCCAUCUAAAGCUAAAUAUCUGCGAGAGACCGAUAGCGAACAAGUACUGUGAAGGAAAGAUGAAAAGAACUUUGAAAAGAGAGUGAAAAAGUACGUGAAAUUGUUGAAAUGGAAGGGUAGGCCGCUAACCACGUAGAGUCGUGUUUGGGGGGAAGAUAAAAGCUGAAGAAUGUAACUCCUUGGAGUAUUAUAGCUUCAGUCCAUAUUCCCACCCGAGCGCGAGGACUUAAGACUCUGCUAAAUGGUGGUCUACCAC